CACGUAGGGGGCAAGCGUUGUCCGGAUUUAUUGGGCGUAAAGAGCUCGUAGGUGGUUCGGUAAGUCGGGUGUGAAAACUCUGGGCUCAACCCAGAGACGCCACCCGAUACUGCCGUGACUUGAGUCUGGUAGGGGAGUGUGGAAUUCCUAGUGUAGCGGUGAAAUGCGCAGAUAUUAGGAGGAACACCAGUGGCGAAGGCGGCACUCUGGGCCAGUACUGACACUGUGGAGCGGAAGCGUGGGUAGCGAACAGG
rnacentral:rRNA from 1 species